rnacentral:rRNA from 1 species
GACGAACGCUGGCGGCGUGCUUAACACAUGCAAGUCGAACGGUAAGGCUCCAGCUUGCUGGGGUACACGAGUGGCGAACGGGUGAGUACACGUGGGUGACCUGCCCUGCACUUCGGGAUAAGCCUGGGAAACUGGGUCUAAUACCGGAUAGGACCAUGGUGUGGAUUCUGGGGUGGAAAGUUUUUUCGGUGUGGGAUGGGGCCGCGGCCUAUCAGCUUGUUGGUGGGGUAAUGGCCUACCAAGGCGGCGACGGGUAGCCGGCCUGAGAGGGUGGACGGCCACAUUGGGACUGAGACACGGCCCAGACUCCUACGGGAGGCAGCAGUGGGGAAUAUUGCACAAUGGGCGGAAGCCUGAUGCAGCGACGCCGCGUGGGGGAUGACGGCCUUCGGGUUGUAAACUCCUUUCACCAUCGACGAAGGGUUUCUGACGGUAGAUGGAGAAGAAGCACCGGCUAACUACGUG